UAGCGUUGCUCGGAAUCACUGGGCGUAAAGCGCACGUAGGCGGAUUGUUAAGUCAGGGGUGAAAUCCUGGAGCUCAACUCCAGAACUGCCUUCGAUACUGGGAAGCUCGAGUCCGGGAGAGGUGAGUGGAACUGCGAGUGUAGAGGUGAAAUUCGUAGAUAUUCGCAAGAACACCAGUGGCGAAGGCGGCUCACUGGCCCGGUACUGACGCUGAGGUGCGAAAGCGUGGGGAGCAAACAGG
rnacentral:rRNA from 1 species